rnacentral:rRNA from 1 species
UAGUCCACGCUGUAAACGAUGAAUACUAGGUGUGGGAGGACUGACCCCUUCCGUGCCGCAGUUAACACAAUAAGUAUUCCACCUGGGGAGUACGACCGCAAGGUUGAAACUCAAAGGAAUUGACGGGGGCCCGCACAAGCAGUGGAUUAUGUGGUUUAAUUCGACGCAACGCGAAGAACCUUACCAGGAUUUGACAUCCAACUAACGAAGUAGAGAUACAUUAGGUGCCCUUCGGGGAAAGUUGAGACAGGUGGUGCAUGGUUGUCGUCAGCUCGUGUCGUGAGAUGUUGGGUUAAGUCCCGCAACGAGCGCAACCCCUAUCGUUAGUUGCUACGCAAGAGCACUCUAGCGAGACUGCCGUUGACAAAACGGAGGAAGGCGGGGACGACGUCAAAUCAUCAUGCCCUUUAUGUCCUGGGCUACACACGUAAUACAAUGGCGAUCAACAGAGGGAAGCAAGACCGCGAGGUGGAGCAAAUCCCUAAACAUCGUCUCAGUUCGGAUCGCAGGCUGCAACUCGCCUGCGUGAAGCUGGAAUUGCUAGUAAUCGC